rnacentral:misc_RNA from 1 species
AAUGGCCGCAGUAUUUUAACUGUGCAAAGGUAGCAUAAUCAUUAGUUUUUUAAUUGAAAGCUUGUAUGAAGGGUUGGACGAAGUAAAUACUGUCUCUAUAUAAUUUAUUAUAAAANUUAAUUUUUAAGUUAAAAAGCUUAAAUUUUUUUAAAAGACGAGAAGACCCUAUAGAGUUUUAUAUUUAUAUUUAAAAUUAUUUUUUAGAUAUUUAUUUUUUUUUUAAUGAAAAUAUUUUAUUGGGGUAAUAAAAAGAUUAAAUUAAUUCUUUUUGAUUUUUAACAAAGAUAAAUGAUUUUUUGAUCCAUUUUUAUUGAUUAUAAGAUUAAAUUACCUUAGGGAUAACAGCGUAAUUUUUUUAGAGAGUUCAUAUCGAUAAAAAAGUUUGCGACCUCGAUGUUGGAUUAAAGAUUAAUUUAGGUGUAAAAGUUUAAAUUUUUGGUCUGUUCGACCAUUAAAUCUUUACAUGAUCUGAGUUCAGACCGGUGUAAGCCAGGUUGGUUUCUAUCUUUAGAUAAAUUAAAUAUUUUAGUACGAAAGGACCAAAUAUUUUUUAUAUUAAUUUUUAUAUUGAUUAUUAUUGUUAUUUUGGCAGAUUAGUGCAAUGAAUUUAGAUUUCAUUUAUGUAGUUUAAUUACAGGUAAUAU